rnacentral:lncRNA from 1 species
GCUGGGGUGACGCAGGGGGCUGGGGGGUGCCGGGUUGAUGUGGGGGUGACGUGGGGAGGCUGGGGUGAUGUGGGGGGACCGGGGGUGACGCGGCGGGGGGGGCCGUGCCCAGGUCCAGGCCCACGUGUGGGUGAAGGGGGGCUGCGAGGCCAGCAAGUGCGGCAAGUGCCAGAAGAAGAUCAAGAGCUUCCAGAGCCUGACGGGGCUGCACUGCGUCUGGUGCCACCUCAAGGUGGGCACGUCCCUGUCCCCGAGGGGGUGGGGGACCCCCCCCCCCACCAUGGCCCCCCUCCCCAGCCCCCCCCCCUCACCCCGCUCUGUCCCCAGAUCCACGAGGAAUGCCAGCCCCUCGUGCCCCCCGCCUGCGACUGCGGGGUCCUGCGGGACCACAUCCUGCCCCCCGCCGCCAUCUACCCCGUCCUGCUGGAGCGGCAGGACAGCCAGCGGGACGGCAGCGGGACGCCGGUGGAGGAGACGCCACAGGUCUUCACCACCCCCGAGGGCCAGGCGCUGCGGGUGAGCCGUGUCCCCCCCCCUUCCCCGUGUGUUUGUGUGUCUCCCCACACACACCGUGUCCCCCCACUCCGUCCCGCAGCCCUCACACCCCCCCCACCUCACCCCCCCCGCAGGUCAGCCCCGUGCCCGACACCCACCCGCUCCUCGUCUUUGUCAACCCCAAGAGCGGAGGGAAGCAGGGGGAGAGGUAAGGGGGGGGGGGGGUCUGGGGGGACUGAGGGGACUCAUUCUAGUGGCCCAGUGGGGGGGGGCAGCCACCUGCCCCCCUCCAGCCCCCCCAGCUCCCCUUUCCCCCCCCCCCAGGGUGCUGCGCAAGUUCCAGUAUCUGCUCAACCCCCGGCAGGUCUAUAACCUGCUGCAGGGAGGACCCACCCCCGGGUGAGUGGGGCUUGGGGGGGGCCACUGGGGUGUCCAGGUGGGGUGGGGCCCAAAC